UACGUAGGGCGCAAGCGUUGUCCGGAAUUAUUGGGCGUAAAGAGCUCGUAGGCGGUCUGUCGCGUCGGAUGUGAAAGCCCGGGGCUUAACCCCGGGUCUGCAUUCGAUACGGGCAGACGUAGAGUGUGGUAGGGGAGAUCGGAAUUCCUGGUGUAGCGGUGAAAUGCGCAGAUAUCAGGAGGAACACCGGUGGCGAAGGCGGAUCUCUGGGCCAUACUGACGCUGAGAAGCGAAAGCGUGGGGAGCGAACAGG
rnacentral:rRNA from 1 species